rnacentral:sRNA from 1 species
CAAGAGGGUCGAGCGGAGCCUAGGGG